rnacentral:rRNA from 1 species
UGGGGAAUAUUGGACAAUAGAGGAAACUCUGAUCCAGCAAUUCUGUGUGUGUGAAGAAGGUUUUAGGACUGUAAAACACUUUUAGUAGGGAAGAAAAAAAUGACGGUACCUACAGAAGAAGCAACGGCUAAAUACGUGCCAGCAGCCGCGGUAAUACGUAUGUUGCGAGCGUUAUCCGGAAUUAUUGGGCUUAAAGGGCAUCUAGGCGGUAAGACAAGUUGAAGGUGAAAACCUGUGGCUCAACCAUAGGCUUGCCUACAAAACUGUUGAACUAGAGUACUGGAAAGGUGGGUGGAACUACACGAGCAGAGGUGAAAUUCGUAGAUAUGUGUAGGAAUGCCGAUGAUGAAGAUAACUCACUGGACAGAAACUGACGCUGAAGUGCGAAAGCUAGGGGAGCAAACAGG